rnacentral:lncRNA from 1 species
UUAUUCCUUAAUGCAGAUCCUAGGCCACAGAGUCAUACAGUUAGUUAUAAGAAAGAAAGAAAGAAAGAAAGAAAGAAAGAAAGAAAGAAAGAAAGAAAGAAAGAAAGAAAGAAAGAAAGAAAGAAAGAAAGAAAGAAAGAAAGAAAGAAAGAAAGAAAGAAAGAAAGAAAGAAAGAAAGAAAGAAAGAAAGAAAGGAAGGAAGGAAGGAAGGAAGGAAGGAAGAAAGAAAGAAAGAAAGAAAGAAAGAAAGAAAGAAAGAAAGAAAGAAAGAGAAAGAGAGAAAGAAAGAGAGAAAGAUAGAAACAAAGAAACAAAGAAACAAAAUUAUAUAUAUAUAUAUAUAUACUCAUCUUAAUAUAGA